rnacentral:lncRNA from 1 species
GGAUUUCCAUACAAAUUCAUCAAGAAGUUUACAUUUGGAUUUCCAGAACAAUGGAAACAAUAUGUUGAGAAUUUUCUUGAGGAACUAAAGAGGUAACUUUUGGAAGGAACAAGAUACUGAUGAGGCUGGCAAUGAAAAAAUCAGUUCUGUGGAAGUGGAUAUGUUGGAAGAAGAGGGGGUAACAGGAGACUUAAAAAAACAAUCUCGAACACAAAAUGCCACUUAUGAAGUAGCAUUGAAUGAUAAUGGAUGUGUAGAUAUGACACCUAAACACAAUUCUGUGGAGAAAGACCCAGAUGCAAGUUACAGCCGUAGUGGUCGGCGCAUAUAAACCACCAUUGCAUUACUGGUGUGGACAACGAGAGUUCGUUGAUCAUAACUAAAUGUUACU